rnacentral:rRNA from 1 species
CUAACACAUGCAAGUCGAACGAGCGAGAGAGAGCUUGCUUUCUCGAGCGAGUGGCGAACGGGUGAGUAACGCGUGAGGAACCUGCCUCAAAGAGGGGGACAACAGUUGGAAACGACUGCUAAUACCGCAUAAGCCCACGGUGCCGCAUGGCACAGAGGGAAAAGGAGCAAUCCGCUUUGAGAUGGCCUCGCGUCCGAUUAGCUAGUUGGUGAGGUAAUGGCCCACCAAGGCGACGAUCGGUAGCCGGACUGAGAGGUUGAACGGCCACAUUGGGACUGAGACACGGCCCAGACUCCUACGGGAGGCAGCAGUGGGGAAUAUUGCACAAUGGGGGAAACCCUGAUGCAGCGACGCCGCGUGGAGGAAGAAGGUCUUCGGAUUGUAAACUCCUGUUGUUGGGGAAGAUAAUGACGGUACCCAACAAGGAAGUGACGGCUAACUACGUGCCAGCAGCCGCGGUAAAACGUAGGUCACAAGCGUUGUCCGGAAUUACUGGGUGUAAAGGGAGCGCAGGCGGGAAGACAAGUUGGAAGUGAAAUCUAUGGGCUCAACCCAUAAACUGCUUUCAAAACUGUUUUUCUUGAGUAGUGCAGAGGUAGGCGGAAUUCCCGGUGUAGCGGUGGAAUGCGUAGAUAUCGGGAGGAACACCAGUGGCGAAGGCGGCCUACUGGGCACCAACUGACGCUGAGGCUCGAAAGUGUGGGUAGCAAACAGGAUUAGAUACCCUGGUAGUCCACACCGUAAACGAUGAUUACUAGGUGUUGGAGGAUUGACCCCUUCAGUGCCGCAGUUAACACAAUAAGUAAUCCACCUGGGGAGUACGACCGCAAGGUUGAAACUCAAAGGAAUUGACGGGGGCCCGCACAAGCAGUGGAGUAUGUGGUUUAAUUCGACGCAACGCGAAGAACCUUACCAAGUCUUGACAUCCCUUGACAGACAUAGAAAUAUGUAAUCUCUUCGGAGCAAGGAGACAGGUGGUGCAUGGUUGUCGUCAGCUCGUGUCGUGAGAUGUUGGGUUAAGUCCCGCAACGAGCGCAACCCUUAUGGUCAGUUACUACGCAAGAGGACUCUGGCCAGACUGCCGUUGACAAAACGGAGGAAGGUGGGGAUGACGUCAAAUCAUCAUGCCCUUUAUGACUUGGGCUACACACGUACUACAAUGGCGUUAAACAAAGAGAAGCAAGACCGCGAGGUGGAGCAAAACUCAGAAACAACGUCCCAGUUCGGACUGCAGGCUGCAACUCGCCUGCACGAAGUCGGAAUUGCUAGUAAUCGUGGAUCAGCAUGCCACGGUGAAUACGUUCCCGGGCCUUGUACACACCGCCCGUCAA